rnacentral:lncRNA from 1 species
GUCGCAAAGGGCUUUGGAAAGAAAUUUAGACAUGUUUUCCAUGGAAUGAGUUUUGGUCAUGGGAGAUGAGGAAAGAUGAAUUUUAAAGGGGUAAAGAGGUAAAAGAGAGGACAGUUAAGAGGGAUAAGGAGGAAAAGAGAGAUGUAGGCGACUGUUGAAAAGAUAAAGGAGGGGUAGAUGAAAAAAUGUGAAAGGAAAAGGUGACUGAUGGGAGUGAAAAGGUGGCAGAAGAGGGGUGUUGGGGAG